GGCCAGGCACUACUCUGUCCCAACAAUAAGCCCUGUACAUUGGGAAAGGUGCCGAAGACAUGAACUUUGGUCUUCUCUGCAAUCCCUCUGGAGCAUUCAGUGACAACGUCGACUUUGAAGUUGCACUGACCUGGCCAGCCCUGCCACUUACCAGGUUGGAUAACACUAACAAAGUUGACCUUAGAAUUGGAGUGCCCGGGUUAGAACCUUGCUGGUACCACCUGCUUACUGCAUGCUUCUGAUGUGAGUUCAGGAGAAGCCACUGGCAAGGACAGCAAAGAACAGGAGAACACUCUAGCUUCCCUGAUAGCAUUCAAGGUGCUGUCCAAAGCUGAAAAAGUUUUGGAAGCCCUCCUAAGCAGCUGCCAGACCCUUUUUUGGCCAGAGACAGGAUCUUACUCUGUUGCCCAGGCUGGAGUGCAAUAAUGUCACCAUGGCUGACUGUAACCUGGAACUGCUGGGCUCAAGGGAUCCUUCCAGCUCAGCCUCCCAAGUAGCUAGGAGUACAGUUGGAGGAACUGGUUAUUUUCCCAGGGCUUUGACUGAAAUGGCCUUGUGAAUGGUUCCAGGAAAGCCAAUUUUGGAGACCCUAUGUGGAUGAUGAUGCUUGCUGUACUUUCUGUGGGUAAUCGGGCCAAGUAUAUGGGACUGAAGCUAAUUUUGCAGGUGAGGAAAUGGAGGUCCAGAGAGAAAAGUGACUCACCCAAGCUGAAAACAAUUGCAGGAAGAAAAGCUGUUAGGAAUCUUGGAGUACACUAAAGAUGAGGAACUGAGUCACUGCAAUGCCAAAUGUAACAAGCUGUGGGUCAAAAUUUGGAUGUUUGCAUUGGAAAUUAUUCUGAAGCCACAGACAGGGCUAAAAGAGUCUAGAAUGUCCUACUAGCUGUUGGAACGUGCUGGAGUUCUAAAGGCAUGCAAAGUAUUGAAUGUGCUUGACCGAUGGACACAGCAGGUAUUUGAAGAGUUUUGAUGCUUCCUUUCUGUUUUCAGCGCUAUUUUUUUGCUUUAUUUCUUUUAAAAAACUUUCCCCACAGAGGCUAUUUAUUACACAGCAGCAGCCAGCAUGCACCAAGCAGAAUUGCUUUUCAUAAUAAACCUAUUCAUCUUCUGGUAUGUCAGAAAUUUCUCAAAUUGAUACUUAUAAUAAAUAUGAUUAAUAACACAUUGUA
rnacentral:lncRNA from 1 species